rnacentral:rRNA from 1 species
AGUGAACGCUGGCGGUAGGCUUUACACAUGCAAGUCGAACGAGUGGCGGACGGGUGAGUAAUACAUCGGAAUCUCCUCUGUCGUGGGGGAUAACGAAGGGAAACAUACGCUAAUACCGCAUACGAUUGGAUGAGCCGAUGUCGGAUUAGCUAGUUGGCGGGGUAAAGGCCCCCCAAGGCGACGAUCCGUAGCUGGUCUGAGAGGAUGACCGGCCACACUGGAACUGAGACACGGUCCAGAAUCCUACGGGAGGCAGCAGUGGGGAAUAUUGGACAAUGGGCGCAAGCCUGAUCCAGCCAUACCGCGUGUGUGAAGAAGGCCUUCGGGUUGUAAAGCCCUUUUGUUGGGAAAGCGGUACCCAAAGAAUAAGCACCGGCUAACUACGUGCCAGCAGCCGCGGUAAUUC